GAGGAGGCGGGCAUGCAAACGGGCACAGGGUCAGAGACGGGAACAGCGUCAGAGGGCCCUGAAGCUGACUCCACUCUUCUCCGUGUGUUUUAUUCCACUUCCCAGCUGUUCAUCAAAGAAUCAUCUGAACAUUGAUAAUUUUCAUGAGGCAGGAACAUGACGAAAUUCAGCAAUAGGAGCUAAGUGAAGAUGGAUACUUUAACAAAUUGAUCAUUGUGUCUUAUAAAGACAACCUUUGGCCGUUCUUUCUCUGCAUGUGGCACAUACACUUACUGAGACUGGAGUCUACCUAAUGUAUCUUGAGGGCUCACGUGACAAAGGCUUGGUCUCCGAGGUGGUAAUGUUGGGAGGCAGCACAGCCUAUGAGGAGCGGGCACUGAGAGAAAGCCUGAGAUCCCUGGAGAGGCACCCUUAAAGCAGGUUGGGAAACUCUGUCUCCAUCCUCUUCCUCUCUUAGCUCUCCAUCCACAAGGUGAGUGGUUUUUUUCUGCCACACAAUCCUGCCAAUGUGUGCUGCCUCAUUUCACACUUAAACAAACAGGUCCUGAACAACCAUGAACUGAAACCUCCAAACUUGUGGCCAAAAUAAAUUUUUUCUCUUCAUAA